rnacentral:rRNA from 1 species
GUAGGUGGCAAGCGUUGUCCGGAAUUAUUGGGCGUAAAGCGCGCGCAGGCGGUCCUUUAAGUCUGAUGUGAAAGCCCACGGCUCAACCGUGGAGGGUCAUUGGAAACUGGGGGACUUGAGUGCAGAAGAGAAGAGUGGAAUUCCACGUGUAGCGGUGAAAUGCGUAGAGAUGUGGAGGAACACCAGUGGCGAAGGCGACUCUUUGGUCUGUAACUGACGCUGAGGCGCGAAAGCGUGGGGAGCAAACAGGAUUAGAUACCCUGGUAGUCCACGCCGUAAACGAUGAGUGCUAAGUGUUAGAGGGUUUCCGCCCUUUAGCGCUGCAGCAAACGCAUUAAGCACUCCGCCUGGGAGUACGGCCGCAAGGCUG